UACGUAGGGGGCGAGCGUUGUCCGGAUUUAUUGGGCGUAAAGAGCGUGUAGGCGGCCAGGUAGGUCCGUUGUGAAAACUCGAGGCUCAACCUCGAGACGUCGAUGGAAACCAUCUGGCUAGAGUCCGGAAGAGGAGAGUGGAUUCCUGGUGUAGCGGUGAAAUGCGCAGAUAUCAGGAAGAACACCUAUGGCGAAGGCAGCUCACUGGACUGGUAUUGACGCUGAGGUGCGAAAGCGUGGGGAGCAAACAGG
rnacentral:rRNA from 1 species